UUUCUUUGGUAUUGUUUAAAGGUGGUUAAAAUGUCAUAAGAGCUGUCAUAAAAGCUAUUAUAAAACUAAUUUACUUGUGUGUAAUAUGGAAUGACUGCUGACUUCCUUUUCUGAUCAACAUCUAGGAUUGUGAUCUAUGGGGAUGACAUGCUUGACGCCAUCGUGCCAAACUCUGCCAAACCAUUCAACUUCCAGAUUGCAUACGGGCUUUCUGAAGAAGAUGCCCUGAUGGUGAGCGACCAUUACCCUGUGGAGGUAGAGCUGAAAAGAAAAACACCAACAGAACAGAGCAGAGCAGGGAACAGAAGGCACACAGACAGCAGAGUUGGGGACAGAUAUGCAGGGACAGACUGGCAGAGACAGGGAGUCUCAGGAAUUGCUCUUGAGAAAAUUUCCUGUAAUUGUCCCCUCCAAAGUUGAUAUCAGAUUUUCACCCCUGAGCUGGUGGAACAAUCAAGAAGUCUGGAAAGAAGGUAUUUGGCAUUUGAAGACCAUGCACUCAUAUGUUGCUGAAUCACAGCCCCCUGUGAAAUUUACAUUUACAUUACAUUUAAGUCAUUUAGCAGACGCUCUUAUCCAGAGCGACUUACAAAUUGGUGCAUUCACCUUAUGAUAUCCAGUGGAACAACCACUUUACAAUAGUGCAUCUAAAUAUUUUAAGGGGAUAUCCACUUCCUGUCAGAAUCUGUCUCAGGGUUUUGCCUGCCAAAUGAGUUCUGUUAUACUCACAGACACCAUUCAAACAG